UGAACGAAAUUAGAGAAACGAAACUAUUGACACGCUACAACAUCGUGCCUUGUAUGAGACAUAACGCGAAAUGAAACCGCGAUUUGUCAGUGUGCCAAAUCGGGUUCCGAGCAUUUAGAGGCAAGUAGUUUCGCGCUACCCCCAACGACACAGUGGGGUUCCGAAGAACCGCUGAACCGAAUUACAAAGGACGCUAGACUACAAGAACCUACCUCGUCCUUUCGGACGAGGCUGCAGUCCCCCGAUUUGACACACUGACAGCGAAAGUUAGAAACUCUACACUAGAACAAUG